CCUACGGGUGGCAGCAGUGGGGGAUAUUGGACAAUGGGGGAAACCCUGAUCCAGCGACGCCGCGUGAGUGAAGAAGUAUUUCGGUAUGUAAAGCUCUAUCAGCAGGGAAGAAAGAAAUGACGGUACCUGAGUAAGAAGCCCCGGCUAACUACGUGCCAGCAGCCGCGGUAAUACGUAGGGGGCAAGCGUUAUCCGGAAUUACUGGGUGUAAAGGGAGCGUAGACGGUAAUGCAAGUCUGGAGUGAAAGGCGGGGGCUCAACCCCCGGACUGCUCUGGAAACUGUGUAACUGGAGUGCAGGAGAGGCAGGCGGAAUUCCUAGUGUAGCGGUGAAAUGCGUAGAUAUUAGGAGGAACACCAGUGGCGAAGGCGGCCUGCUGGACUGUAACUGACGUUGAGGCUCGAAAGCGUGGGGAGCAAACAGGAUUAGAUACCCGUGUAGUC
rnacentral:rRNA from 1 species